AGAGUUUGAUCCUGGCUCAGAACGAACGCUGGCGGCAGGCCUAAUACAUGCAAGUCGAGCGCGCCCUUCGGGGUGAGCGGCGGACGGGUGAGUAACGCGUGGGAAUAUGCCCUUCUCUAAGGAAUAGCCUCGGGAAACUGAGAGUAAUACCUUAUACGCCCUACGGGGGAAAGAUUUAUCGGAGAAGGAUUAGCCCGCGUUAGAUUAGGUAGUUGGUGGGGUAAUGGCCUACCAAGCCUACGAUCUAUAGCUGGUUUGAGAGGAUGAUCAGCCACACUGGGACUGAGACACGGCCCAGACUCCUACGGGAGGCAGCAGUAGGGAAUCUUAGACAAUGGGGGAAACCCUGAUCUAGCCAUGCCGCGUGUGUGAUGAAGGCCUUAGGGUCGUAAAGCACUUUCGCCAGAGAUGAUAAUGACAGUAUCUGGUAAAGAAACCCCGGCUAACUCCGUGCCAGCAGCCGCGGUAAUACGGAGGGGGUUAGCGUUGUUCGGAAUUACUGGGCGUAAAGCGCACGUAGGCGGAUUAGUAAGUUAGAGGUGAAAUCCCAGGGCUCAACCCUGGAACUGCCUUUAAUACUGCUAGUCUUGAGUUCGAGAGAGGUAAGUGGAAUUCCGAGUGUAGAGGUGAAAUUCGUAGAUAUUCGGAGGAACACCAGUGGCGAAGGCGGCUUACUGGCUCGAUACUGACGCUGAGGUGCGAAAGUGUGGGGAGCAAACAGGAUUAGAUACCCUGGUAGUCCACACCGUAAACGAUGAAUGCCAGACGUCAGCAAGUAUACUUGUUGGUGUCACACCUAACGGAUUAAGCAUUCCGCCUGGGGAGUACGGUCGCAAG
rnacentral:rRNA from 1 species